rnacentral:rRNA from 1 species
UACAUGGGGUGCAAACGUUGUCCGGAAUCAUUGGGCGUAAAGAGCGUGUAGGCGGCCCGGUAAGUCCGCUGUGAAAGUCGGGGGCUCAACCCUCGAAAGCCGGUGGAUACUGUCGGGCUAGAGUGCGGAAGAGGCGAGUGGAAUUCCUGGUGUAGCGGUGAAAUGCGCAGAUAUCAGGAGGAACACCUAUUGCGAAGGCAGCUCGCUGGGACGUUACUGACGCUGAGACGCGAAAGCGUGGGGAGCAAACAGG